CAGUAGCCGCGGUAAUACGAAGGGUGCAAGCGUUGCUCGGAAUUACUGGGCGUAAAGCGUGCGUAGGUGGUGGUUUAAGUCCGUUGUGAAAGCCCUGGGCUCAACCUGGGAAUUGCAGUGGAUACUGGGUCACUAGAGUGUGGUAGAGGAUAGUGGAAUUUCCGGUGUAGCAGUGAAAUGCGUAGAGAUCGGAAGGAACAUCUGUGGCGAAGGCGACUAUCUGGGCCAACACUGACACUGAGGCACGAAAGCGUGGGGAGCAAACAGGAUUAGAUACCCCCGUAGUCCCUGUCUCUUAUAC
rnacentral:rRNA from 1 species